rnacentral:rRNA from 1 species
AGAGUUUGAUCAUGGCUCAGCCUGAACGCUGGCGGCGUGGCUAAGACAUGCAAGUCGCACGGUGUAGCAAUACACAGUGGCGAACGGGUGAGUAAUGAAUCGCUAAUGUGCCCCGGACUCUGAGAUAGCUACCCGAAAGGGUAGGUAAUAUCAGAUGAUAUGCAGCUGUCGCAUGACAGUUGCCUCAAAGGUCCGCCGGUCUGGGAGCAGGCGAUUUCGUAUCAGCUUGUUGGUGAGGUAACGGCUCACCAAGGCGACGACGCGUAGCCGGACUGAGAGGUUGGCCGGCCACAUUGGGACUGAGACACUGCCCAGACUCCUACGGGGGGCUGCAGUAACGAAUCUUCCGCAAUGCACGAAAGUGUGACGGAGCGACGCCGCGUGUGGGACGAAGCCCUUCGGGGUGUAAACCACUGUCAGGGGUUAGAAAGUUCUGAUCAACCCCAGAGGAAGGCACGGCUAACUCUGUGCCAGCCGCCGCGGUAAUAC